AUACGGGGGGUGCAAGCGUUGUCCGGAAUCAUUGGGCGUAAAGGGUUCGUAGGUGGAAUUAUAUGUCUGGUGUGAAAGCCCACAGCUCAACUGUGGAACUGCACUGGAUACUGUUUUUCUUGAGUUAUAGAGGGGUUUGUGGAAUUUCUGGUGUAGAGGUGAAAUUUGUAGAGAUCAGAAAGAACACCGGUGGCGAAGGCGACAAACUGGCUAUUAACUGACACUGAGGAACGAAAGCGUGGGGAGCGAACAGGAUUAGAUACCCUAGUAGUCC
rnacentral:rRNA from 1 species